rnacentral:rRNA from 1 species
AGUGAACGCUGGCGGUAGGCCUAACACAUGCAAGUCGAACGGCAGCACAGUAAGAGCUUGCUCUUACGGGUGGCGAGUGGCGGACGGGUGAGGAAUACAUCGGAAUCUACUUUUUCGUGGGGGAUAACGUAGGGAAACUUACGCUAAUACCGCAUACGACCUACGGGUGAAAGCAGGGGAUCUUCGGACCUUGCGCGAUUGAAUGAGCCGAUGUCGGAUUAGCUAGUUGGCGGGGUAAAGGCCCACCAAGGCGACGAUCCGUAGCUGGUCUGAGAGGAUGAUCAGCCACACUGGAACUGAGACACGGUCCAGACUCCUACGGGAGGCAGCAGUGGGGAAUAUUGGACAAUGGGCGCAAGCCUGAUCCAGCCAUACCGCGUGGAUGAAGAAGGCCUUCGGGUUGUAAAGCCCUUUUGUUGGGAAGAAAAGCAGCAGGUUAAUACCCCGCUGUUCUGACGGUACCCAAAGAAUAAGCACCGGCUAACUUCGUG